GGUGGAAUUGGGAGACCAGUUAGGAGACCACUGCAAUCAUUCAAGAGAAAGAUGAUGGAGACUGGGAAUAAAAUUGCAGCAAUGGAGAAGGUAAAGCCCACAGGACGUGCUGAAGAUGGGGUGUGGCAUAAGAGAAAAAGAGAGAACUUCAAGAUGACGUCAUAUUUCUUGUCCCGGUGGCAGCUCUAAAUAUCAGUUGGACUGGUACUGAAGAAAAAACAGGACAAAAAGGCCAGAAGGGUAAAGGUUUCCAGCCACCUCACCAUCACCACCAUCAUCAAUAAAAGAAUUAUGGGACGAGUACAGUGGCUCACGCCUGUGAUCCCAGCACUUUGGGAGGCAGAGGCAGGUGGAUCACUUUAGCCCAGGGGUUCAAGACCAGCUUGGGCAACAUGGCAAAACCCCCUCUCUACAAAAAAUACAAAAACAAACAAACAAAAAACCAACACACACACACCUACAAAAAUUAAACUGGCGUGGUGGUGGCACAAGCCCGUAGUCCUAGCUCCUUGGGAGGCUGACAUGGGAGCAUCACUUGAGGUGGGAGGUUGAGCCUUCAGUGAGCCAACAUCACACCACUGCACUCUAGCCUGGGCCACAAAGAGGAAUCAUGUCUUGAUAUAAAAAAAAAAAAAGAGAGAGAGAAUUCUGCAUGUCUUUACUUCACUGCCCACACGGCUUGAGCCACAGUCAAAGAAGCAGGACAAUGUCAGGGUCAUUUUAAAAAAAGAGAGAGAGAGGACUGUUUUGUGUUCUGAAGGAAAAAUAAAAGCUUUUGGCUAAUGG